GACGAACGCUGGCGGCGUGCUUAACACAUGCAAGUCGAACGGAAAGGCCCUGCUUGCAGGGUACUCGAGUGGCGAACGGGUGAGUAACACGUGGGUGAUCUGCCCUGCACUUCGGGAUAAGCCUGGGAAACUGGGUCUAAUACCGGAUAUGACCUUCCAUGUAGUGUGGGGGGUGGAAAGAUUUAUCGGUGUGGGAUGAGCCCGCGGCCUAUCAGCUUGUUGGUGGGGUAAUGGCCUACCAAGGCGUCGACGGGUGGCCGGCCUGAGAGGGUGGACGGCCACAUUGGGACUGAGAUACGGCCCAGACUCCUACGGGAGGCAGCAGUGGGGAAUAUUGCACAAUGGGCGGAAGCCUUAUGCAGCGACGCCGCGUGGGGGAUGACGGCCUUCGGGUUGUAAACCUCUUUCGACAGGGACGAAGCUUCGGUGACGGUACCUGUAUAAGAAGCACCGGCUAACUACGUG
rnacentral:rRNA from 1 species